GCCAAGUAUUUUCCCUGAUACCUGGCUUGCUGUCUGCUUCAAGGCCUGUUACUUUUUCUCUUCUAUCACGGGUGUCAAAUUCCAAUCCUUGCAAGGCAUACCCACAGCAGAUUUUCAGAACAAACCUAGCAUGAUGCUUAUAGGUGCCAAAUUAUAUAUUUGUAUAAUGCUCUCUCCACAGGAAGGGUUACCACCCUUCUUGGAAAUUUUGUUUACCAGGCAAGCUAAUUUGCAUAAUUAAUUAUGUGUGAGUCACAGGAGUGUCCGUUUGUAUACUGUGUGUGUUUAGUACUGUGCU